rnacentral:rRNA from 1 species
GACAGAGGGGGCAAGCGUUGUCCGGAUUUAUUGGGCGUAAAGAGCUCGUAGGCGGUUCGAUAAGUCGGACGUGAAAUCUCCACGCUCAACGUGGAGGGGCCGUUCGAUACUGUCGUGACUCGAGUCCGGUAGGGGAGUGUGGAAUUCCCGGUGUAGCGGUGAAAUGCGCAGAGAUCGGGAGGAACACCCGUAGCGAAGGCGGCACUCUGGGCCGGUACUGACGCUGAGGAGCGAAAGCGUGGGGAGCAAACAGG